GAUCAUGGCUCAGGAUGAACGCUAGCUACAGGCUUAACACAUGCAAGUCGAGGGGCAGCGGGAUUGAAGCUUGCUUCAAUUGCCGGCGACCGGCGCACGGGUGAGUAACGUGUAUCCAACCUUCCGUACACUCAGGGAUAGCCUUUCGAAAGAAAGAUUAAUACCUGAUGGUAUCUUAAGCACACAUGUAAUUAAGAUUAAAGAUUUAUCGGUGUACGAUGGGGAGGUGCGUUCCCUACUUAAGG
rnacentral:rRNA from 1 species